rnacentral:tRNA from 1 species
GGGCGAGUGGUGAAAUUGGCAGACACGCAGGACUCAAAAUCCUGUGAUAGCGAUAUCGUGAGGGUUCAACUCCCUCCUCGCCCA